GAUGAACGCUGGCGGCGUGCUUAACACAUGCAAGUCGAACGGGAAACCUUUUAAUGAAGCUUCGGCAGAUUUAGCUGGUUUCUAGUGGCGGACGGGUGAGUAACGCGUGGGUAACCUGCCUUAUACAGGGGGAUAACAGUCAGAAAUGACUGCUAAUACCGCAUAAGCGCACAGGACCGCAUGGUCCGGUGUGAAAAACUCCGGUGGUAUAAGAUGGACCCGCGUUGGAUUAGCUUGUUGGUGGGGUAACGGCUCACCAAGGCGACGAUCCAUAGCCGGCCUGUGAGGGUGAACGGCCACAUUUGGACUGAGACACGGCCCAGACUCCUACGGGAGGCAGCAGUGGGGAAUAUUGCACAAUGGGGGAAACCCUGAUGCAGCGACGCCGCGUGAAGGAAGAAGUAUCUCGGUAUGUAAACUUCUAUCAGCAGGGAAGAUAGUGACGGUACCUGACUAAGAAGCCCCGGCUAACUACGUG
rnacentral:rRNA from 1 species